GACGAACGCUGGCGGCGUGCUUAACACAUGCAAGUCGAACGGUGAAGCGCCUUCCUGUUUGGUGGGGGUGGAUGAGGGGCGAACGGGUGAGUAACACGUGAGUAACCUGCCCCCUUCUUCGGGAUAACCGCAGGAAAGGGUGGCUAAUACGGGAUAUUCUGGGUCUGUCGCAUGAUGGGUCUGGGAAAGAUAUUGGUUCGGUGGGGGAUGGGCUCGCGGCCUAUCAGCUUGUUGGUCGGGUGAUGGCCUACCAAUGCGGUGACGGGUAGCCGGCCCGGGAGGGUGGACGAUCACGCCGGAAAUGAGGCACGGCCCAGCCUCGACUGGGACGCAGCAGUGAGUCAUACUGGAGGAAGCGCGCGAGCAUGAUGGAGAGUCGGCGAGUGAGUGAUGGAGCCCUGCCGGUUGUGAGCUUCUUUCGCUAGUGAAGCAGGCCUCUCUUGCCUGUGGGUGGGUUGACGGUAGCUGGAGAAUAAGCGCCGGCUAACUACGUG
rnacentral:rRNA from 1 species